rnacentral:rRNA from 1 species
CCUGGCUCAGAUUGAACGCUGGCGGCAUGCCUUACACAUGCAAGUCGAACGGCAGCACGGGAGCAAUCCUGGUGGCGAGUGGCGAACGGGUGAGUAAUGUAUCGGAACGUACCUUUCAGUGGGGGAUAACGUAGCGAAAGUUACGCUAAUACCGCAUAUUCUGUGAGCAGGAAAGCAGGGGAUCGCAAGACCUUGCGCUGAUUGAGCGGCCGAUAUCAGAUUAGCUAGUUGGUGAGGUAAAGGCUCACCAAGGCGACGAUCUGUAGCGGGUCUGAGAGGAUGAUCCGCCACACUGGAACUGAGACACGGUCCAGACUCCUACGGGAGGCAGCAGUGGGGAAUUUUGGACAAUGGGCGCAAGCCUGAUCCAGCCAUGCCGCGUGAGUGAAGAAGGCCUCGGUGUAAGA